GUCUUCUUGUUAUAUUUAGGAAGUCUGGCCUGCCCAGUGAAAUUAAUUUAACGGCCGCGGUAUAUUGACCGUGCAAAGGUAGCAUAAUCAUUAGUCUUUUAAUAGAGGGCUGGUAUGAAGGGUUUAACGAGGUGUUGACUGUCUCAUUUGAUUUGAAUAUUAGAAUUUAAUUUUUUAGUUAAAAAGCUAAAAUACUAUUGGAAGACGAGAAGACCCUAUAGAGCUUUAUACUUUUAUUAUUAAUUUAUUAUGGAUUAUUAUUAUUUAUUAUUAAUAAAAAGUAUUUUGUUGGGGUGACAAAAAUAUAUAAUCAACUUUUUUAUUUUAUUUACAUUGAUAUAUGAAUAUUAGAUCCAAUCUUAUUGAUUGUUAGAUUAAGUUACCUUAGGGAUAACAGCGUAAUCCCUCUCCAGAGUUCAUAUUUACAGAGGGGCUUGCGACCUCGAUGUUGGAUUAAGAUAAUAAUUAGGUGCAGCCGCUUAAUUAAUAGGUCUGUUCGACCUUUAAAUUCUU
rnacentral:rRNA from 1 species